rnacentral:rRNA from 1 species
UACAGAGGUCCCAAGCGUUGUUCGGAUUCACUGGGCGUAAAGGGUGCGUAGGCGGUCGGGUAAGUCUGAUGUGAAAUCUCACAGCUUAACUGUGAAACUGCAUUGGAUACUAUCCGGCUCGAGGAAUGGAGGGGAGACUGGAAUACUUGGUGUAGCAGUGAAAUGCGUAGAUAUCGUGAGGAAGACCAGUGGCGAAGGCGGGUCUCUGGACAGUUCCUGACGCUGAGGCGCGAAGGCCAGGGGAGCAAACGGG